UACGGGGGGGGCAAGCGUUGUUCGGAAUUACUGGGCGUAAAGGGCGCGUAGGCGGCCUGCUAAGUCACACGUGAAAUCCCUCGGCUCAACCGGGGAACUGCGUGUGAUACUGGCGGGCUUGAAUUCGGGAGAGGGAUGUGGAAUUCCAGGUGUAGCGGUGAAAUGCGUAGAUAUCUGGAGGAACACCGGUGGCGAAGGCGGCAUCCUGGACCGACACUGACGCUGAGGAGCGAAAGCCAGGGGAGCAAACGGG
rnacentral:rRNA from 1 species